ensembl:snRNA U6 U6 spliceosomal RNA
GUGCUCACCUUGGAAGCACAUAUGCCAAAAUUAGAAUCAUACAGAGAUUAGCAUGUCCUCUGCAAAGAUGAGGUAAAUUUGUGAUACAUUUCAUAUUUUC